rnacentral:rRNA from 1 species
CCCUAUUAUUAUAAAAGGUAAUUUAAUUAGUAUUAAAAUUUGAAAUUUAAUAAUUUUGGCGGUUAAUUACUUUUUAGAGGAGCUUGUGCUUUAAAUAGAGUUAGCUCUUUAUAUUUUAAUAAUAAAUAAUUUAUUCAUCUCCGUUAUUAAUUAUUAAAAUUGAAUAACAAGAAUAAUAAUUAUUGUUGAAUUUCAGGUCAAGAUGUAGUUUUUAUUUUAUGGUAUUAGCUACAGUAAUAUAAAAUUAAGUUGGAUUAUUUUUGGAGUAUUUUUAAUAUGAAAUUGAAUUUAAUUGUAAUUGUAAUCAGAAUAUUAUAAUGAAGGUUAAUAUUUAAUGU